AUCCAAGAUGGCGGCUGACAAUGAAGCCUCGAAGUUGUUGGAAGUAAUCAAUACGAAAUACAAGAAAAAACCCGGAACUCUACGCCUUCUCACUAACACAUUAACAUGGACUCUUCAUGGAAGCAACGCAGCCAAAAUAGACUGCAAAUAUUUGGAGAUCAAAGUGGCGCUUGCAAGGGUCAUUGCCAAAGGUGCCAGUACCAGCAGUAAAAGAACAGGACUGCUUUCCUUCACACAGCUCUUUCACCUUGAUUAACGAACUGGAUUCGUCUCCGCAAGGCACCGCCAUGAAAGGAUGAGGGCAGACGUCUUUGGAAGAGCGACCAUAUAGAGCCCAUUUGAUACUAAGAAGCUUCCCAUUUGGGCACGACAUAUUCAAGACACUUUUCUCACACGCUGUGAACAAAUGAUACAUACUUUAAAAAAUUUCAAAUAUUU